AACUUUGAAGCUUGUGCUUGUUUUGGAACAUAUUGGCUCAUACUCUUAGGCCCUUGUGCAGAAAGAUUACUGGACCGAAAAUUACGUUGACCUACUGAUGUCAUAAACCCAGUAUAGCUGCAGCAAAAUUCAAAGCAAUUACAGUAAUCCUUAUCAAGAUCAUCAAAUUCAUCACCAAGAAGCUCUUCGUAAAUUUCCUUUCUUAUCAGUUAUCACACGAUUCUUUUGAGGUGAGCUACAGUUCCCUGAAACUAGAACACAUUUCUGUUAAAAUGGAAAUUCCUUAAUGUCCACGGUUAUUUAUCAAUACCAACAGAAAUGUAACCAGUCUAUAUGCAAUUUAAUUAAUUAAAUUGCUUCCAUCAAAUUGAACUCCUGGCUUGUCCA